GCCUACCAGAAUUGUCGUACGAGUAUUGAUAAGCUUUUCAAAACAAUACUAAUUAAUGAGAUGGUCGACAUAUACUCCGUUCCGAUAAGGAAGAAAGACAUAGUAUGGUAGACGCCUUUGCAGUAAUGCGACAGGCAGGAG
rnacentral:ncRNA from 1 species